rnacentral:rRNA from 1 species
UACGGAAGGGGGCUAGCGUUGCUCGGAAUUACUGGCGUAAAGCGCACGUAGGCGGGUUGUUAAGUCCGGGGGUGAAAUCCUGGAGCUCAACUCCAGAACUGCCUUCGAAACUGACGAUCUUGAGUUCGGGAGAGGUGAGUGGAACUGCGAGUGUAGAGGUGAAAUUCGUAGAUAUUCGCAAGAACACCAGUGGCGAAGGCGGCUCACUGGCCCGAUACUGACGCUGAGGUGCGAAAGCG